GUUGUAAAGUACUUUCAGCGGGGAGGAAGGGAGUAAAGUUAAUACCUUUGNUCAUUGACGUUACCCGCAGAAGAAGCNCCGGCUAACUCCGUGCCAGCAGCCGCGGUAAUACGGAGGGUNCAAGCGUUAAUCGGAAUUACUGGGCGUAAAGCGCACGCAGGCGGUUUGUUAAGUCAGAUGUGAAAUCCCCGGGCUCAACCUGGGAACUGCAUCUGAUACUGGCAAGCUUGAGUCUCGUAGAGGGGGGUAGAAUUCCAGGUGUAGCGGUGAAAUGCGUAGAGAUCUGGAGGAAUACCGGUGGCGAAGGCGGCCCCCUGGACGAAGACUGACGCUCAGGUGCGAAAGCGUGGGGAGCAAACAGGAUUAGAUACCCUGGUAGUCCACGCCGUAAACGAUGUCGACUUGGAGGUUGUGCCCUUGAGGCGUGGCUUCCGGAGNUANCGCGUUAAGUCGACCGCCUGGGGAGUACGGCNGCAAGGUUAAAACUC
rnacentral:rRNA from 1 species